rnacentral:lncRNA from 1 species
GUGGUGGCAUGAUUGCUCAUAGUGAGGCUGUUGGAGUUUGAUUGCAUAAAAAUAUGAUCUCUUAGCCACUUAAGACUAUGUGGUGUAUGUUGAUGAUAGUUAGUCUACUGUCAGAGUAGGAUACACAUCUAAAUAGAAUCUAUCGAUCUUAAUAGAAAGGAGUGAUCCUAUGAGAUUUGAGAGGCUAAGUCUAUAAGUCUGUGGCCAUAGCAGUAUGAUUGAUAGAAAAAAAAUUUAUAAGAAUCAUA